rnacentral:lncRNA from 1 species
GUGACCGUACACUAUCAGCAGCGGCUCGGAGGGCGUUGCUUUUUCCCCAAGAGGUUUAGGAAGGUAGAAGAUGUGUACCAGAAGGUGGCUGCCACUGAUGAUGAAGAGUUGGAGGGGGAUUCUCAUGUCGUUGGCCAUCUUCCAUCUGUUUGAUAAUAUAAUUAUCCCCAUUAUGGCUAGUUAACCUGAUUCAAGAAAUGGGUAUUGGGGUUUUUGCUUGAUGAUUCUGUAAAAUAACAACCACCUUUAUUGCGUUCUUGUCUAAAUUGGAAACACUAGUUCUAUAACUGAAAGGUAUGCAAGUAGGGGUUUCAAUGGAAUUUUGAAUUGCUAUAAGAAUGCUGGAGCUUCAGUCGUAUAAACUCAUAUAAUUAUUUUGGGAAUCGUGGGAAAUUGAGGCGUACCUGUCUUUUAGGUUCUGCGAGCUGGAACUCCCCCUGAAAAAUUGUAUCAUUUGACUGAAGCAAUGAGACGAAGAAAUUAACGGUAUAACUCUUCAAGGCCUAUUGACCAAAUUUUUUGUUCCGCCGACGACUGAUGAUCAUCUCCCGCAUUUCCGAUCCAGUUUUUUUAAAACAUUC